CAACUUAAGUUUAUUUGCUUCUGCUUUUCUUUCCUUUUUUUUUUGUUUUAAAGACAUGUCUACGUGUGCUUUAUUAAGUAAGUUUGUUUCUUUGACUUUUAAUUCUUUAUUUGGAGUUUUUUUUAUUUGUCUAAUAUUUUAAUUUUAUUUAUGAUUGAGAAAACAAUUUAGUAGAGAAUAAUGAUAAAUAGACAACGAAAUUGUAAUAAAUAAAUAAUAUUCAAGAUCACGAAGUUGGAAUAUCAGUAACGUCUUUUGUAGUCAUCACUUAUGAUGAUGUGAUACUAUAGUUCUGUCUUAAUUCGUGACGUUUGUGUAAUGCUAUAAAAGUCGCAAACAGAAACAUUUUUGAGAUGAUGUUAUUAGUUACUAAUUAAGACAUAUAAGUGACCAUUCUUUAGUAGUUUACUGUGAUGAUCGGUGACUACUAAUUUGUUAGAAGUAGUUACAAAUUUGUCACUUUAUGAUAGUAACUAAAUAUGUCAAUUUUAAGACAAUUUUUUUUGUCGAAAUUAAUGACUGUUUUGUAACAAUCACGAUUAGCAACAAAAUGUGACGAAACAGAGACUAUAUAAUCACGUCGUAAUAUUGUGACGGUUUUGAUACUAAUUUUUUUUGGUGACGAAUUUAUUGCAACAGAUUAAAUUUGUCUUAUAUUCGUCUUAAUAUAUAUAUUGUUACGAAACUCUACACAUUGUGACGAUAAUUUUUGUCUCAAUAUAAUGUUUUUUUUGUAGUGA
rnacentral:lncRNA from 1 species